rnacentral:rRNA from 1 species
ACAGUGGACGCGAGCAUCUGUGGCCAAGUUUUUAAGGGCGCACGGUGGAUGCCUUGGCACCAGGAACCGAUGAAGGACGUGAGAGGCCGCGAUAGGCCCCGGGGAGCUGCCAACUGAGCUUUGAUCCGGGGGUGUCCGAAUGGGGAAACCCGGCAGUCGUCAUGGGCUGUCACCCACUGCUGAACACAUAGGCAGUGUGGAGGGAACGAGGGGAAGUGAAACAUCUCAGUACCCUCAGGAAGAGAAAACAACCGUGAUUCCGGGAGUAGUGGCGAGCGAAACCGGAUGAGGCCAAACCGUAUGCGUGUGAUACCCGGCAGGGGUUGCGCAUGCGGGGUUGUGGGAAUGAGCUU